rnacentral:rRNA from 1 species
AUGGCGCUCGUCCCACAUGGCGGAGGCGCGGGCGGAUCGGCGUCGAUGGCGAUGCCGAUGCUCACAGUGGACAACUACACCGUCUGGGCGAUCAAGGCGCAAGCCAUCCUCGACGUGCACACCGUGUGGGAGGCGGUGGCACCGGGCAAUGCGGCGGUGAACGCGCGGAAGGACAAGACGGCGCGCGCGUUGCUGCUCGGAGCGCUACCGGAGGACGUGUUGCUGCAGGUGUCGACGAAGCUCACCGCCAAGGAGGUAUGGGACUCCUUGAAGGUGAGGUUCGUCGGCGCCGAUCGGGUCUGCGCGGCGAGGCUGGCGACGCUGCGCGGCGAAUUCGACCGCCUGAAGAUGGCGGAUGGCGAGGAGCUCGACGUGUACGGCGGGAGGCUCGCGGCGAUGGCGGCGAGGUACGCCAACCUCGGGGAGACGCUGGGCGACGCAGCACUUGUCAAGAAGUUGCUGGAUACAGUGCCGGAUCGCCUCUUCCCCGUCGUCGCCGGCAUCGAGCAGUUCCACGACGUGACGACGAUGGCGUUCGAUGAGGCGCUCGGGCGGCUGCGCGCGUUCGACGAGCGUGUUCGGCGCCGUGGACAAGACGGCGGCGAGCGCGGCGGGGAGAAGCUUCUCAUGACGGCGGCGCAAUGGGCAGCGCGGGAGCGUCGGCACGGCGGAGCUCGGGACGACGACGACAUGCGGAGCCAGGCGUCGGGCUUCGGCGGCAAUCGGCGCGGGCGCUGUUACAAGUGCGGCGAGCGCGGGCACUUCAAGCGCGACUGCCCCCAGCUGCGGAGGGAACCGGCGGCGGAGCGCGCGCUGCUGGCGGACGUCGUCGGGGUCGAAGACGGCGGACUCCUCUGA